rnacentral:rRNA from 1 species
AUUGAACGCUGGCGGCAGGCCUAACACAUGCAAGUCGAACGAGUGGCGGACGGGUGAGUAAUGUCUGGGACACUGCCUGAUGGAGGGGGAUAACUACUGGAAACGGUAGCUAAUACUGCAUACCAUCAGAUGUGCCCAGAUGGGAUUAGCUAGUUGGUGGGGUAACGGCUCACCAAGGCGACGAUCCCUAGCUGGUCUGAGAGGAUGACCAGCCACACUGGAAUGGAGACACGGCCCAGACUCCAACGGGAGGCAGCAGUGGGGAAUGUUGCACAAGGGGCGCAAGCCUGAUGCGGCCAUGCCGCGUAGGUGAAGGAGGUCUUCGGAUUGUAAAGCACUUUAAGUUUGGAAGCGGUACCAACAGAAUAAGCACCGGCUAACUUCGUGCCAGCAGCCGCGGUAAUUC